GCUGUCGUGGGCCAUGGCGGCCCCCUCUCACCGAUUCAAAGUACCGGACCCAAUCACUUUGUAAAGAGGAAAGCGGAGGUUCGAUUCCUCCCGGCGGCA